CUUGUUCUGUCUGUUGGCCCUGGUUGGCCAUGGUGUCAUAUCUUGUGUCACAGUAUACUAGUAGUCUUUACAAGUUCGUUAAGUGCUUUCGCAGUUUUUCCUGUUAUUACCUUAGUGCUAGGAUUAUCAUUUUCAUAGGUGGUGUUUCUUCUCACUCCAUUUCUCUUUAUUAGUAUCUUUCUGGAUUGUUUUUCAUUAGUACAACGUAGCUUCCUGAGGAGUGUUGUGCGAAAACUAGUUCGAAGUACGAUUUUUUGUUCAUCAUUUUCUCCAUAUCACAUUUUUUUCUUUCUUCCAUGUUCUUCACUGCCUUCGUAUCCACUCGUUUUUUGAAUACAAUAAAAGCCUUUGUGAAAUGUC